rnacentral:rRNA from 1 species
AGUGAACGCUGGCGGUAGGCCUAACACAUGCAAGUCGAACGGCAGCACAGUAAGAGCUUGCUCUUACGGGUGGCGAGUGGCGGACGGGUGAGGAAUACAUCGGAAUCUACUUUUUCGUGGGGGAUAACGUAGGGAAACUUACGCUAAUACCGCAUACGACCUACGGGUGAAAGCAGGGGAUCUUCGGACCUUGCGCGAUUGAAUGAGCCGAUGUCGGAUUAGCUAGUUGGCGGGGUAAAGGCCCACCAAGGCGACGAUCCGUAGCUGGUCUGAGAGGAUGAUCGGCCACACUGGAGCUGGGACACGGACCAGAGUCCUACGAGAGGCAGCAGUGGGGAAUGUUGGACAAUGGGCGCAAGCCUGAUCCAGCCAUACCGCGUGGGUGAAGAAGGCCUUCGGGUUGUAAAGCCCUUUUGUUGGGAAAGAAAAGCAGUAGGUUAAUACCCCGCUGUUCUGACGGUACCCAAAGAAUAAGCACCGGCUAACUUCGUG